CGUAGGGAAAAGAAACCAUUGCUGCUGCCAUGGGCAGAAAAAACUUUUGUCGCCGCGCCUGAGAAGAGAAGAAGAUCAACCACGCACUGUUGUCACAUGAGAAAAAGAAAGAAGCACCAACCAUUGCUAACUGCCGCUUGAGAAGAAAGCAAGGAAAUCCCCUUCCUAAUUGUGAUUAAACCCAAUGAAAGGCGAGAGACAUUUGAACUUCCAAGACGUCUUCUGCCCCCUUAUUAAUUCGUUUAACAAGUUGGAAUGCCAGACGUUUGGGCGUGCCAAUCCUUCUUCCAAUUCCAAUUCUUUAUUUWGAUUUUGUUAUUUUCAUUUCCUGAAUUCAUUUGGGUUUUGCAAAUAGAUUGGGUUUUAUUAGCCAUUCUCCAAGAURGAGGCUCUAGCUCAAAGCUUUGAUUUCACUAUCAAAGCUCCAGUCGUUCUUCAAGAUAGGCAAAGUACAAAGCUUUUCCUCUGCUAUGUAUAUGAGGAACUACACAUCUUGGAUAUGGAGGUACAAGAAACAUACACAAAGACUGCGUUCAGGUUAUUCAAGUGGUAGUAACAACUCAGUUCAUGUACCAUAACACAAACCUUCGUUUCAGAUUUUAGAAGCACAACACCAUCAAGGCCUUUAAGAGGAUUGGGAGCUUUGUCUUUGGUCACCUGGCAAUGAUACCAGAACAACUAUCGACAUCGAUAGAAGAGCCAAGGCAAGGGAAGAUAAAUAGACCCCCACAACGACUUACCUGAGUUGGAGAGACGAAGAUGAAAAUUUCCCUGCAAAUGUAACCUGACACAAACUGUCCAAGAUGGAUGAAUAGAUCGUAAUGAGGACUUGAGGA